GACAAUGCCAGUUACUUUCUUAUUCAGUGGAGACCUGCAGCCCAUGAAACAGUGCCCCCCCCACCCCACAGGGUGGGCCUUCCCUCCAUAUUAGACCUUCCUGGAAACUCCCUAGGUCUCUUAGGUGAUUCCAAAUCCUGUUAAGUCGACACUGAUGAGUCCCAGUCAGACCUUCGUACAGGUGUGAGCCCCGUCUCCCCUCAGGAAUUUCCUUGGUUCUGGGUGCUCCCACCGUGGGCAAUCAGAGGUGUGUUUCAGAACCAUCACCGGUGCUAAUCAAGGGAGCAUUAGCUUCAUGGAGGAGCAGAGAUGAUGUGUGCCCCGUAGACAGCGAGGAGAGCCCUGCGCCUGAGGGUUCAGAUAUGACGUGCCAUUGCUGCGUUCACGUGAGAGAACUGCAAUGCAUUGUGGUCAGGGGGAGUCUUUUCUUUCUUUCUUGGAACUUGGCCGUUUAAGGUUUUUUGCUCCUUUAAAUUUUUACUUUAUUUUUGUUACAGAAAUUCCCCGUGUGCAUGAGCAAGAGCUAGCCAGCCUAAGUCCCAGCAUGGAUGGAUGUGGGAGGGGCUCAAGAAGUCCCACCCCUACCGGAGGAGACAUUGGCUAGGACUCUGAGCUGCCUUGCUGGGGGAUGAUUAGAGGCCCCUCCCCAGCCGCACAUCCACGGGUGUGAAUGGUGCUUUGGGAAAAGGGUCUUCAUAGACCACCGGGGGACUUGAGAUAAGACUUCCUUCAUUAUCCAGGUUGAUCUAAAUCCAGUGACAAGUGUCCUUGAAGGAGAGACGCAGGAGAGGCAGGUGGGACAGAGGACUGACUGCCAAGAGAGUGGCAGAGCCUAGAGGGUGCAGCUGCCUGCAGAGGGAGAAGUCACUUACGUGAGGAGCCAAGAAAGCUGAGAAGCAAAGGUCCGCACACCGCUCUCCAGGUCAAAACCGAAACCCAAAGAGAAAGCCAUCCCUGGGCGGGUGGUCCCGGGUUCUACUAGAAAGAAGACUGAGCAAGCCAUGAGGAGCAAGUCAGCAAGCAGUUCCCUCCAUGGCCUCUGCAUCAGCUCCUGCCUCCAGGUUCCUGCCCUGCUUCAGUCCCUGUCCUGACUUCCUUUCAUGAUGAA